AUUUUUGUCUCACUUCUGUCCUUUUCUUCUCUCAACGACUCUCUUCGUUUUCUCUGCUCAGCUCCCAAAUCAAAUCAAAGGAGAGUGAAUCAAGCCCAUAUCGCACUCUCAAUAGUUAUCUGCUCCCUUCUCUCUUUGCUGCCUCCUUUUUCUCUUCUGUCUUCGACAUAAAUCUUGCCUCCCGCGGUAGAGUCGAACUUCUACCCUUCUCAGUAGUCACUGCCUCUGCAGAAAUUGUUCAAUGGCAUACAGAGGGCGCGGCCGCGGACGCGGUGGAUUUUCGGGUGGUGGCGGUUUUGGCUUUGCUAAGCAAGAGCCCUUUGUGCUUUUUCCUGACAUUGAUUUGCCUAUUCCCAAAGGUAUAUCUGAUCUACAGCAAAAAACGGACGCUGUUAUUGAGGAAGAAAACUUAAUCAAUCAAACUCGCAAGUUCCAAAAAAUUUGGAAAGACUCUCCUUAUUAUCUUGAGCAAAGCACUUCGAAUGAGAGGCAAAACGAAGAUGUAGAAAGAUAUUCUGACAGAAGAAAGCCAAAAACCACGAUAAGACGCGGUUCUCUUUUUAGUAUAUUGGAGCUCAAGGGAUUUCCUCAAGAACUGACUGGAGGUUCAAGGGUGCAGCAGCCAGGUCGAAAGAGAGUUCGAUGGAAUCCUAACUCAGGGCUGGAGAAGUUGGAUUUAUUUGAAAAGCUCGAGCAGCGUCAGGGCCAAAAUGAUACAAAAGAAAAGAAAGAAGGUGAAGGUGAGGAUGAAGAUGAAAAUGAAGAGGAGGAGGAACAAGAGGAGGAGGACUUUAGUGAUGAUGAUUAUUAUAAGGGCUUUGAUGUUGAUGAUGAUGAAGAUGAUUAUAAUAUGGAAGAUGACGGUGACGACGAACCCCUUUUAUAGUGAGAAGGUGUUGCAUACGAUGUGUUCAUCUCAUUUCUCUUCGAUCAAAUGGGUUUGCUCUUGAAUCCAAGUUUUUAGACUCCGAGAACAUAAAAAAUCGAAGUCAGUGCUUGGUAAGGCUGUUUCCAAACAACUCCUCUGAGUCCAAUCUAGCCCCACUGCUUUAGGAUCGGCCUCUGAAGACUUCGCCCAAACAACAGCGCCGCUUGCCGUCAACCUGGUUAUCUUCCUAUGUCGAACAACUUUCAACGGCACGGGGACUGGAGAAGCUUUUCUCCGACGUCUACGUCCGCUUGGGAUCUUGCCAUUGCAUGUGUAUGGCUUAAUAAGCAAGAAUAGUGAUCGUAUUUAGGUCCAUCUUAAAUUCACAUGGCACCAAUGAGUUCACGGAGUGAGACAUAAAAAAACAGUUAACUAGAUAAUUAAGCGGGAUUUAAAGAAUAAACCAAAUCGUUACGGCCCCAAAUUGCCAGAGUGAAA